rnacentral:rRNA from 1 species
AUGAUGGGCGGGCCAGCGCCGAUGACAAUACUCACAGAUCAAUGCAGAGCUAUGGAGGUUGCAAUCAAGAAAACUUAUCCUGAUACAGUACACCAUUGGUGCAAAUGGCAUGUCCUAAAAAAGGCGAAGGAAACGCUAGGACCAUUGUACGCCAAGAAGAGUGACUUCCAGGCUGAAUUUCACAAAGUUGUGAACCACAUGCUAACUGAGGAAGAGUUUGAAUCAGCCUGGGGAGCUCUCCUCGACAAGUACAAUUUGAGGAAUCAUAACUACAUGACCCAAAUUUAUGAAACCAGAAGGAAAUGGGCGAAACCAUAUUUCCGGGGUGUUUUCUGUGCAAAAAUGACAAACACCCAAAGGAGCGAGAGCGCAAACCACAUGCUGAAAUCGUACAUGCCCCCAGCCAGCCCAAUGCAUGUAUUCGUCCGACAAUACUUGAAACUGUAG